UACGUAGGGUGCAAGCGUUAAUCGGAAUUACUGGGCGUAAAGGGCGCGUAGGCGGCCCACUAAGUCAGACGUGAAAUCCCCCGGCUUAACCUGGGAACUGCGUCUGAUACUGGAGGGCUUGAGUAUGGGAGAGGGAUGUAGAAUUCCAGGUGUAGCGGUGAAAUGCGUAGAUAUCUGGAGGAAUACCGGUGGCGAAGGCGGCAUCCUGGACCAUUACUGACGCUGAGGCGCGAAAGCUGAGGG
rnacentral:rRNA from 1 species